rnacentral:rRNA from 1 species
GUGUCAGCAGCCGCGGUAAGACAGAGGUCCCGAGCGUUAGGCGGAAUCACUGGGCUUAAAGCGUGUGUAGGCGGAGUUCUAAGUACCUUGUGAAAUCCCACGGCUUAACCGUGGAACUGCUUGGUAUACUGGUUCUCUUGGGCCACUUAGGGGCUACCGGAACAAACGGUGGAGCGGUGAAAUGCGUAGAUAUCGUUUGGAACGCCAAUGGUGAAAACAGGUAGCUGGGAGUGUGCCGACGCUGAGACACGAAAGCCAGGGGAGCGAACGGGAUUAGAUACCCCGGUAGUCC